rnacentral:lncRNA from 1 species
UUUGUGCAGAAACAGGGUCUGUCAUCAGAGACAGACAUCAGAGGGUGGUUGCUGCUGGCUGCUCUUGCACAGGUGAAUAGCGUCAAGGUUGCCGAAAGCCUUGAAGGACCUAAAAGAGCUGCGAAGGAUGGACCAAAGAAGCUGUGGGUUCAUUCGGAUGCUCAAGAAGUGGUAAAUGGGCUAAAUGGAACAAGUGGCAUUCCUUGGAGCCGGAAAGCCAUAGUGGAAACCAUUGAAUUUAAGGCAUGACAGCUCAACUUUAUUAAAUUUUCUUGUAAUAACCAGAAUGCAACUAUUUUGGCACAUCUUUUGGUAAUUUUGGGAGAGUACAGAAUGUUCCCACUCUCGGGGAGCUGAUGACAGCUCAUUUUUUGGUAUCUGGAACUUCAUCUUCUACCACCAACGGGUAAGCGAUAUAGAUCAUAUUUUUCUUUGAAAAGAAAGUAGUGCCCUCAACUACAGAUA